rnacentral:lncRNA from 1 species
CCUCAGCGUGGCUUGGUAAUCGGUGUGUGGGUCCACGCCUGGGAUCUGAACCAGCAAACCCUGGGCCACCGAAGCAGAGUACGCAGAUUUAACCACUAUGCCCCUGGGCUGGCCCUGGUUGAGCAGCUUUUGGAUUUUGAUGGCGUCUGCCGUUGUCCUGGGGAAGGUGGUGUCGGUUUCCGGUUUCAUUGCGGUCCUGGACCAGCACUUUCUCUGCGUCUCAUUUGAUCCUCACAGUAGUCCCUUGAGGUCGCAUGUGUCUGACAGCCCCAGCCACACGCCCUCCCCCACCCCCAGUCUCUUUGAAGAAAGACAGUUAUCUUGGCCAAGACUGUUCUGCCUGUGCCCAGGGCUUCCGGCAUCUGGCCGUGGUCUCAGUCUGCG